rnacentral:lncRNA from 1 species
GGAGCCCUUUUUUUUUUUUUUUUUUUUUUUUUUGGAGAAAACCCUACUUCAACAGUUGAGUUUCUUAUUUCAGCAAUAUUAUUACGUCUUCUGCAAUCGCUCAUUUCCUUACGUCUGCAACUCAAGUACAGGUACUCAACCAUUCCUAAAACCUAUCGGCGAUAGGCGACGGUAGAGUGACAACAUCCUCCUGUGGCGGUCUUCUAUUAUCAGACUCGUUGGUACUAAAUUACUAAUUUGGUAAGUCAUUUAUCUAUUAUCUUCCCCAAAAUUCGACCGGCCGACGACAUGGAUGGUGAAUUUGAUGAUUGCUGGCAUUCUGCUUCUAUAUUAAUUAUUAUCUAUCAAUUAGUUUUCUUGCAAUGUUUUGGGUGAGUUAUAUCCAAAAUCCGACCGGCCGACUUCAUCUUCAUGACUCUGGCAACUCUAGCCUGGCAUUUUGCUUCUGUCUGUUAAUACUUAAUAUCUAUCAAUUUGUUUUCUUGCAAUGUUUUGUUUUGGGUGAGUGAGUGAGAUUGAAAAUUUCAAAUUGAUUUAUUUUGUCUAUUUGUUGCAUCUUGGAUUCUUGGUGAAUGAUGGCUUCUUCCAAUUGUUGGUCAGUUGGUGAAUGAAAUUCUUAAAUUCAUCCAUUAAUGAUUAAUCCUACCAGGCUACCAUGUUAAAGAUUGCAGUAUAAGAGUUAAUGGAAAUUUUGUAUUUUCAAGAAAACAUAAAUUUGUACUUGCAAGUUGUAAAAUGAUCUAAGACUGGGGAUUUUAAAAACUUUAGUGAAUUUGAAAAGAAAAAAUGGGAUUAUUAGGAGAAUUAUGAAAAGGGAACCUAUUAAAGGGCGGUGAGAGCGAUGCAGAGAGAGAGAGAGAGAGUGAGGGCAAAGGCCUUCACAACAGUCCAAGCAAAAGACAUUCUUUUUAUUCUUCUUAAUAUCCUUGUGAAUUAAGCAGGCGUUGAAGAAUUUGCUUGUCAAGAGGGCUAAAAGCCACUGGGAAAGCUCUGAUGAAUUUUUGUUGUUGAAUUAUCCAUUUGCAACAAAAAUUCAUCAAUUAAGAACUAAAAGUUAAAAGAUUGGGUUUUAAGAGAGAGAUGGAGAAACUAAAACUCUAGAAUUGAUAAAGAGUAGAGGCAUUAAUUCGAAGUUAAGCUGGAGAUAUGGAUAAGUACUUUAAUGGCAAGAAAAGAAAAGAGAAGGAAGGAACAUCAAAAAAUUUAACGAUUGAAGAGCAACAAAAUCAGAAUGAUAUUGAUAAUGAUCAUGUGGAUGAGUAGAAAGAGAACAAGGAAAUUAUUGAACCUGCAAAUAUGGAUGAGUCAAAACAGAAUGAUGAAAAUCAUGUUCAACAUGAAGAUUUAAAUCAAGAGAAUUGCUUCUCUUUGAAUUUUAAUGAGUUGAAGUGGAUCCAAAAAGAGUUGAUGACAUCUUUUUUCCCAAAGAUAGUAAAGGUAGACAUUUUGAAUUAUCACAAUAUAAGCGGCUAAUGGCAAAUGGGUAGACAACUGAUAGAAGAUGGUUAGUGUAUUCAAUUUCUUUAGAUAAAAUCUUCUGUUUUUGCUGCAAGUUAUUUAAGACAGAAAAAUGGACAAAAAUAUUGGCCAAUUGGGUAAUGAUGGAUACAGUGAUUGGCAUAAUAUGCAUUGACGUCUUACACAUCACGAAAUGUCUAAGGAGCAUAUAGGUUGCAUGAUUAGUUGGAUGGAAUUGGAAAAUAAGCUUCAAACAAAACAUACAAGUGAUGAAAGCUCUAUUAACAAAGAAAGAGAGCAUUGGAGACAAGUAUUAACGAGAAUAAUUGUUAUUGUGAAAAGAUUCGCUAAAAAUACUUUAGCAUUUCGUGGAGAUUGUGAGCAACUUUAUGUUGAGAACAACAAACUUUUUUUUUUGCAAAUGACAGAAAUAGUUGCCGAAUUCGAUCCAAUAAUGGAAGAACACAUUCAACGUGCCCAAGCACGCAAAAUUUAGUAGACAUAUCUGGGCCCUAAGAUUCGAAAUGAAUUGAUACAAAUGUUGGCAGAGCGAUGUGAGAAGUGCAAUUGUCACAAAAGUGAAAAUGCAAAAUAUUUUUCCGCCAUACUUGAUUGUACUCCAAAUGCGAGUAACGAAGAACAAAUGUCUCUAGUAAUAUGAUGUGUGGAUGAUUCGGUAGACUCGCCGAUGGUACAAGAAUAUUGGAUUGAAUUUUUGAAGGCGGAUGAUGCAUCAGGAUUGGGACUUUUCGUCAAGCUUAAAAAUGUGUUAAAGAAUCUUGAGCUUGAUAUUGAUAAUAUAAGAGGUCAAGGGUAUGACAAUGGAGCUAACAUGAGUGGGAGACAUACAGGUGUACAAAAAAGGUUACUUGAAAUUAAUUCUAGAGCUUUCUAUACUCCAUGUGGUUGACAUAGCCUUAAUCUAGCAUUAUGUGAUAUGGCAAAUUGUUGUUCGAAAGCUAUGUCCUUCGUUGAAGUGAUACAACGAAUCUACACAUUGUUCUCUUCUUCUCCCAAACGAUGGAAAUUUUUUAAAGAUAAGGUUUAAGGUCUGACACUUAAGCCAUUGUCGCAGACACACUGGAAAAGUCAUGUGGAAAGUGUCAAGCCUAUAAAAGAACAAUAUGUACAAAUAAGAGGUGCUUUACUUGACUUGGCAAAUAUUGUUGAAGAUCCUAAAACAAAAAGUGAAGCUGAGUCCUUAGCAAUAUAUGAACUUGAAAAUUUUGAGUUUUUUCUUGGCAUAGUAAUUUGGUAUAAGUUGUUGCAUGCAAUCAAUACUGUGAGUAAAUUUUUUCAAGUCGAAAACAUGGAUAUUAAUCAAGGCAUCAAACUUUUACAAGCACUUAUUUCAUUUCUCGAAAAUUAUAGAGAUUUAGGUUUGCCAAUGCCAUGGAUGAAGCUAAACAAAUGGCAAGUGAAAUGAGAAUUGAAGCUGUAUUUCGAGAGAGACGUAUCAUUCGAAGAAAGAAGCAAUUCGAUGAAAGUGGCACUGAAGAGGUAACAUACUCGGCUGAAGAAUCUUUUAGAGUUGAGUAUUUUCUCUUUAUAAGAUCAAGCUCGAUCAUCACUUCAAACUCAUUUUGAGCAAUUUACACAUUAUGAAGAGAUAUUUGGAUUUUUGUUUAACUUGGAUAGAUUAAAGAGUAUGUAAGUCAACAGUUUGCUGAAAUCUUGUAUGAAUCUUGAGCAGUAUUUAGAACAUAAUGGACAUUCAGACAUUAUAGGUGAUGAUUUAUGUUCGGAGUUAAUCGUCUUGAGGUGCUAUUUAACUAGCGAAACAAAAAGAGCAAUUGAUGUGCUAUAUUACUUGAAGAAAAUGAAUGGUUGUUUUCCGAAUGCUUGCAUUGCUUACAAGAUUUUGCUCACCAUCACGAUUACAGUUGCAUUAGCAGAAAGAAGUUUUUCCAAGUUGAAAUUGAUCAAAACUUAUAUCCGAUCAACUAUGUCACAACAAAGAUUGAAUGAUUUAGCCAUGUUAUCAAUUGAAAAAGAAAUGAUAGAACAACUCGACUAUACAAAAUUGAUCGACAUUUUUACCUUGAAAACUGCAAGACGAGUUGUAUUUAAGUGAUCUCUUAGAACAUUUUCACGUUGUUAUUUGAUUAUAAUAUACAUAGUUUAAAUAUUUCAUUUUUUGAUCUAUUUUUUGAUUUUAUGUCGACAAAUUUAGUUCCUUAUAUCUCUUAUAAAUGAAAAAAAAUUAAUUGCUUGCUAUGAUUUAUGGGCCCAAAACCUGAAUUUCGCCUCAGGCCCUACAAAAUACAGGUCCGGCCCUGACCUCAGUAAAGGUAUUUAAUGUAGUGGCCUGAUCAUAUAUACAAUUAUAGAUUUCAAUUAACACAUGGAUGAACUAACCGAAUAAACAGAAGAUAUAGGAUACUCUAGUAAAUAGGAAAUAAGAUUUCUCACUUUGUCAAAGUAUUAGUUCCUAUUGAUUUUUUGAAUGAAUAACAGGGGAAAUGACAAUUUACAAUAAUUGUCCCUUCCUUUGGUUUCGUUAGUUAAUUUUGAAAUAUGUGUAGUAUAUGUUCAUUUGUACAUGUUUCAGAACGUGUGUAAAACACCAAUUAGGAUAAGUACAGAAAGCUUAUAGUUCAUUAACAAUGUUAAAAAUGUCUGAGAUUUUAUAAGAAAUUAGUACAUACUUACUGAAAAACCCACUUCGUUUUAGUUUGUUUCUUAGUUUCGUUUUUUUUUUUUUUUUUUUUUUUUUGUAAUUUUGGUUUUGAUGAAGUCGAGAAGAAACUCUCUUCUUAUUAUUUUUGGUUAAUAGGUGUCAAUAAAAGAGCUUCUUAUUCCAUGCUGGUAGGAUUUUGUUAGUAGAAGUUUGUUAUCUUUUUAGUGUAUAAAGACCAUAGUAUCUAAUUGUAAAUAAGGUGAAGGCAAUUUAAUCUUUUUCCAAUUGUUUGCUCUUUCUUCAAAUAGCUCUUGAUUUGUUUCAUGGUAUCAGAGCCUCAUUAAAAGUCUUGUUUGUUUCACUCUUCUUGUAUAUACAAGUUGUCCUCGGAGAAGUUUGAAACUUGAAGGAAUUUUUUCCUUUGCAGAUGGAGUUCAUCAACGAAGGAAACAACUCUACCACAUAGCAUGGUGUUGAGAAGCUUGCGGGCACAAAUUAUAAACACUCGAGAAUGUGUGUGAAGCUUACCUUCAAGGUUAAGAACUAUUGGAAUUGUUUACUGGUGUAGAUGCAGAGCUGAAACUCCUGAUAAUACUGAAAUACAAAGAAAGCGAAAGAUAAAAUGUGAAAAGGCCUUUUAUGCCUGGAGAAUGUCAUUUAGCAAGGAGUUCAUUGACCAUAUUCAUGAUAUUGAUUCUCCAAAACAAGUUUGGGAGACUCCUGAAAGGUUAUUUUCCAAGUAGAAUACAACAAGGAUAUAGUACUUGGAAAAAGAUUUAGCAUUGACAAUCUAAGAUAAUAUGACAAUUUCAGAAUAUUUUUUGCGCUGAAAUUUUAGAAU